rnacentral:rRNA from 1 species
CUAUGCGCCUUGCCAGCCCGCUCAGGUGUGCCAGCAGCCGCGGUAAUACGGAGGAUGCGAGCGUUAUCCGGGUUUAUUGGGUUUAAAGGGUGCGUAGGCGGAUUUUUAAGUCAGCGGUAAAAUGUCCGGGCUCAACCCGGGCCGGCCGUUGAAACUGGGGAUCUUGAGUGGGCGAGAAGUAUGCGGAAUGCGUGGUGUAGCGGUGAAAUGCAUAGAUAUCACGCAGAACUCCGAUUGCGAAGGCAGCAUACCGGCGCCCGACUGACGCUGAGGCACGAAAGCGUGGGGAUCGAACAGG